UACGUAGGGGGCAAGCGUUGUCCGGAAUCAUUGGGCGUAAAGCGCGUGUAGGCGGCUAGAUAAGUCUGCUCUGAAAGUCCGGGGCUCAACCCCGGGAGGCGGGUGGAUACUGUCUAGCUCGAGUCCGGAAGAGGAGUGUGGAAUUCCUGGUGUAGCGGUGAAAUGCGCAGAUAUCAGGAGGAACACCAAUGGCGAAGGCGG
rnacentral:rRNA from 1 species